rnacentral:rRNA from 1 species
AACGAACGCUGGCGGCAUGCCUAAUACAUGCAAGUCGAACGAAACCUUCGGGUCUUUUGGCCCACGGGUGCGUCACCCGAGGGAACCUUCCCUUGGGUUCGAACUAACUCUCCGACAGGGGUACUAAUACCGGAUAAUGUCUUCGGCCCAAUGAUUUAUUGCAUUUGGAUGGUCACGCGUUGGAUUAGCUCGUUCGUAGGGUAAAAGCAUACCAAGGGGACGAUCCAUAGCUGGUAAGAGAGGCUGGUCAGCCACACUGAGACUGAGACACGGCCCAGACUCCUACGGGAGGCAGGAGUGGGGGAUAGUGGAAAGUGGGGGAAAGGAUGAUGCUGCAAGGACGCGUAAACGAUGAAAGUCUGAGGGAUGUAAAGCUCUUUUACCCGGGAUGAUAAUGACAGUACCGGGACAAUAAGCUCCGGCUAACUCCGUG